rnacentral:lncRNA from 1 species
UCAUACCCAAAAUUGGUCUUACCCUUAGGCCAGCUCAGCGUCUAUAUCAGGAACCUAAAAAGCCCAAAAUCCAUGUCAGCCAAGACAUAAUUUAGUAAAGAUUCAUAUGUGAAUUGGAAAAAAAAUGAAAGCUGAAAGACGAUCACAAAAAAGACCCGAACCCGGCUGAGCUUUCAUUGAUUUUCAAGGGCAUGAGGUAUGUGGGUCAUCGUGAAUCAUGUUUUUCUUCAGUGGGUAUGGAUUAUUUUCGAAGUGUUUUAUGAUCUUCUUGCUCUUAUCAUGGGUUUCUUUGGAAACUUGAAUGAUAAUGGUGUUGGUUUACAAUAUAUCCGAAAUUGUCGAAUGAUAGUUUGAUUGCAUUCUUGUGGGGUUUUUCUAUUUGUUUAUUUUUUUUCUUUUAUUAAUUGUGUUGCAAUUUGUGGUUUCGAUGCUGCCAAUUUUUUCUUCUUGUGGUAGGAUCCCAAUUCGAAGCAUUUACGAACCACGAUUUGGGAUGCAUCAAUGGUAUUUUGUGAAAUUUCUGGUAAUGUCUAUUAUUCAUUUGAGAAUUUUAGCAUUAUUUUCAUCCAUGGGUUACGAAUUCAAAAUUGUUGAUCUGUUGAGUUGUGUUCAAUUUCUAUGCAAUCUGGGUCUUGAGGGCAAGGGCAGGGUUUCCACCUCUUGGUUUUGUAGGGGGCUCAACCUUUGAAGUCCUGUUUUAAGUGCCUUUAAGCCAUUAAUCAGGAUUUAGUUGCUUAUUCCCAGUGAGGGGAAGAACUAGAGUCUUAAGAGAAAGUUGCUAAAAUCAACUGUUAUAUUUCCUGAGAGAAAGAGUUGCUUAAAGUGGUUUUCUCAAGUUGAGAGUUGCCCAAAGUAGUGCCCUUCCUCUCCUGUGCAUGAGAGUAUCAUAGCGAUAAGAGAAAUUCCUGGUGUUCUUGCUGAUUUGCUUAUCAUAAUAGUAGUUUUUGGAUGCAAUCCCCUUUCUUUUGAUCUCUUUUUUCUGAUUUUAUCUUAGUUUUAGAUCUCAGUUUGAGUGUUAGCAAGGAGUCGUACCCUACAGCUCCCAAUUCUUAGUAAUUGGGAUAAGGCCUUGUUAAGGUGUAUUCUAUAAUAGAACAUUGCAAUAAUGAAAUUGCAUAGAUGGAUUCAGGCCUCAUUUUGCACAAUUUGUAUUCUUUUUUGCAUCAAAGCACUUUAAACCAGAAGAAAUUUGGGACUAUACCUUAGGUACUACCUUAGUGGCCUUUAGGUACUACCUUAAGAGCCCCUAGGUACUAUCUUAAGGGCCCCUAGGUACUACCUUAGCUAAACCUCAACUCAACCUCUCCCAAGCCUCAGACCUUCCUCUCUUACCCUUACACCAUCCCAUUAUGUGCUUCUCUUGAGUGCUCAAGUGGUCCACGAGUGCUUUUUAGGGACUGUACUUUAGGUACUAUCUUAGUGGCCUUCAGGUACUACCUUAGUGGCCUUCAAGUACUACCUUAGCUAAAGUUAUAAUAUAUUAUUAAUUAAGGAAGUAUAAAUAUUUUAUUUAUGAUUUGAGAAUCCAGAGAAUUUUUACACAAUGAUUUGUAUUUCAUAUUAUAUAAUAAAAAAUUAUAAUAUAUUUAUUUAUAAGAUACUUUAUCAAAUUAAAAUGAUGAAUUUUUUUGAUAAAUUUAUUUAAUAUUAUCAAGUAAAAAGGUAUUUCAGGAAAUAAUUAUUUGAUUUAUAAAAAAAUGAGUGAAUUUUAAAACAUUUUAAAAUUGAUGAAGAUAAAAUUGAUUUAUAAAGUUGGAGUUCUUUUUUUUUAUAUAUUUUUUAAAAUUAAUGAGUCAAAACCCACUUUUUUUCAAUUAUUAUUAUUAUUAUUAUUAUUAUUAUUAUUAUUAUUAUUAUUAUUAUUAUUAUUAUUUUAAAGUAUUUUCCCAAAGUCAUUCCAACUAAGUAGUAGGCAUGUUAUUUUGAGUUUUGGGGUAAAAUAGUCAUUUUAUAAAAAAAUAAAAAAAUAAAAUAUAAGGUUAACCACUUUGCAAAAUUUUUGUUCAAAUUAACCCUUUUAUUGUCAUGCAGAGUCCAGUCACAAAAAAAUUUUUAUUUUUCAAAAUCUAACUUGAAGUCUUAUAUGCCAACUAAGGUUUCAUUUUUUAGCUGAAAAUGAAAACAAGUUGGAGAGAAUGGGAAAGGUGGGGGAAAAUAAAGUAAAUUAAAAUAAUUAAAAAUAAAAAUUCUGAUUGACGUGAUCCAAAUGGGCUAGUUUAUAUAUAAGUUUCAAAAGCAGUCCAAUAUGCAUGCAAGGAAUGAUAGUUUGGUAGAUAUUUUGAAUGUAAAAGAGGAAGAAAAAGACUAUAUAUAUUAUAUUAGACACCCACCCAACUCUAACAAUUAUAAAGAUUAAAAAAAUUAUAAUGAAAAUGCUAAAUGAAAUUAUAAACAAGUGUAAAACUAAAUUUUAAUUUACUUUUUAUAUUAUAGACAUACUAUAAUUAAAAUUAAAUUAAUUAAGAUUUUAAAAUUUAAAAGUUAAAAAUUAAAGCAAUUAAAAGUACUAUAUUUAUAAAUUUAAAGUUUUAAAUAAGUUAAAUGAGUUAGAAUCAUAUUAAUAAGUCAAUCAAGUUAGAAUCUUUUGUUGAAUUCAAUAGAUUAUAAUUGUAUUAAGAGACUUAAUACGUUAAAAUUUUGUUCACGGGUUUUUGGGUUAAUUCAUACUUAGUUCAACUUAAUCUCAUCAAUUAACGGAUUAAAUGAAAAAAUUGUAUUUAUGUCAAGUUAUUCUAACAUGAUUAUGAAACAGACCCUAUUCGAGUGUAAUAAAUUUUCAUUAUUUUGUAAUUAUCAGAACAAGGGAUGAGAAUUGUUACCCGUAAUCCUCGUGCAUACCAAGUACCAACAACCUUCCUCAUUGCAGUCCAUUUCCAAUGGGAGAAGCAUCCCACCGGACGCCUUUCACUGGCUUUGUUUUGCUCAUUGCACUCAUAUUAAUAAAUCGAAUGGAUGAGGUCAAUAUUGAAGUUGAGACAUGAAACUUACUUGCAGAGUAGCUGUCACAUUGUAGUAUUGUACUUGGCUAGCUUCCUGCAAUUUACAGCAAUUCACAUGGAGCCAUGAAUUCCUCAUCUUUACCAACAAGCUUCCUCAAAGCUAAAUCAAAAUUUGUAUCACAUUCUAAUAUAUACUUGAUAUCUUCCACUUGAGAGUUCCAUGGGAUUUUCCACUAGACCUAUAGAAACAAGUUUAAAAUUCAUUUAAAACUUAUUAGAUGUUGUUGUACAAAGAACUUAUGUUAUGUUUGCUUCUCAUAAAAUUUGAAAAAAAAU